GAGAUGUUUCUGAAGCCCUCUGGAGAAUACGGGCAUCGAUCCCGCUACCUCUCGCAUGCUAAGCGAGCGCUCUACCAUUUGAGCUAAUUCCCCUUAAUAAAAAAGGAUAAAAAGUCG